ensembl:lncRNA novel transcript
AUAGCUGUUCCCAGCAGUUAGAGGAAAUGGCAGCCCUGGGACCUGGGGGGAUCCAAGGGCAGUCCACGUCUCCAUGGGAAGAUGGCAGCAGCUCUGUGGCUCUUCACAGUGAAGUGACGACCUGUUGUUAAAUGUUUAACAGAAGCCAAACUUGGCUUUUAGGGGACAGCUCUCCUGCCAGCCAGCCAGCUUGCCAAAGGAAUCUUUCCUGUGCACAGAGAGCACACUGGGCUUGGAGACAUUCUCUGCACAGUGGGAUUUGGUGAGAAUCUUAAGAGUUUCUGUUCAAGGUCAGUUUGUCUCUCUCAGACCGUGGCACCAAGGAACCUGCUGCUACCCUACUUGAUGGGGCUGAACAGGAGAUAUAUUCCACGCUUCACAAUUGCCACCUUUCGGGAGCGGCUUCACCAGUUACCUCCAACUCCCGCCAGACCCAAUUCAGAGCUGCCAUCAGGUCAGACCUUUGCCUGCUCUUGGCAACACGUCCCCCUGUCCUGCUCCUCUGCAACCUGCCCCUCUUUUUCUUCAUGUGCUGUGAAGGCACCAUGUGGAUGGGUGUUCAACUUCUGGAUUGGGGAUGCACAGAGCCUGAGGGACACACUUUGCAAACCUGCACCUUGCACUUUUGGGUUCUGGCCUGCAAGGUCUCCUUUAUUCUUUUGGACCAAGGCUGUCCCUGGGAGAGGGCAGCCGCCGGCCUGUCAGAGCAAAUCAGCCUCAGGCGGUUUCUGCGGCUCUGGUAUUUGAGCUUUGUUUUCCCUCUCUCCCGGGAAGAACUCAUUGAAAUAGUUUCUCUGGGAAAGACAAAGCGUCUCGCCCAGAUGCUGAAGGAUCACUUGGUAACUGCCUGUCUUGGUUUCCCGUUGUGCCCAUGAAGGCGCCAUCAGCUCUAAAGCUGACCUGUGGUUCCGUCUCCAAACAGCUAACCCAGACGUCACCCCCUUGCAGCCAGCCGCACAGCCUGAGUUGGAGUUCUGGCCUCUCCUAGCAGUGAGUGACAGUGUUGGAGGGGCCUUGGACACCUUGGGUAAUUGCUAACUAAAUAUGAGCAGUAGGGGAAGGUCUUCUGGUCCACGGCAGAGCCAACGGGGCACUUCCUCUUCUCUUUUCUAGUCAGGGUAGAAAGCUAGAAAGAAUCCUAAAAAUCACUAUCCAAGUCCCCAUUGUGUGGGGACAGAGGCCUGGCCUGAAGCCUAGGCUGGAGGGUUCAGUCGGAAGCAGAAGCCGGGAGACUGCAUGAGAGGGUUCCUUCCAGCUUCACCAAGCCCGUGCUGCGCGGGAUGAAGAAAGUCAAGCCUGUCUUCCAGUGGGGCCCUGAGGUGGGGGAGCUGGAGGAUAGGGUGGCAGCUUUUUUAUCAGCUGUCCCCAAAAGAGGCCCUUCUCCCAGUUGCCACGGACCAAAGCUCCUCCUGGGAGCUCCAGCCUGUCUGUUCAAUGUUUGCCUUGCGCCUUUUCCUGGUGAGGCCACCCCCGGCACCAUCUCAGGCCUCAGAAGGACGACCUCACUGAAACAGCCCUUAGGUUGGGAAAGAAGCAAGCCCUCCGCGCCCCGUCCAAGUCUCUCAACUGGGCACGAGCACACACAGACGCCCAGGCCCUGUCCCUGCGCCAGAAUGGCCGCUCGCGUUUCCAGGCACGAUGCCCCUUUCCAUGAGUGCACAGAGCCCUGGGCUGAGCUGGGGGCCGAGCUCCACGCUCUCUGAGCAGCUCUGAGCGGCACGCCAAAGAAGGUCUUUCAGAUGGGCUCUGGGAUGUGGAACCAUGGCGUCCAGCCCUAGCGUCGACUCCACACUAGAGGCACCCUGACUUUCGCCCCCUUCUUACCUGAGUAUCAGCUUACUUCCAUCUGGGGACUGAAUAUGGGGCAGAUUCCAGAAAAAGGAGGUUGGGGCACCAAAACCAACACCAACUCUGCCAACGGAGCCAGCACAGCUAUUUGUCUCCAACCACAGGCCGCAAGGGAAGUUCACGGGCUCGGCACCCCCAGGUCCCGGAUGUAAGGAUAUUGCCCGUUAGACAAAGGAAAGGCCCCAAGUCCACAACUCAUGUUUGUGAGCUUAACCUUGUCCUAUAAAGCACUUUGGAACAGGCCCAGGUUCUCCCACCAUGUACAGCUGCCAUUGACCUGGACAGUCCCGCAAGGUCCUUCAGUGGAAACCCAGAAGGGAGAGUCACUGCAUGUGAACCCUAAGGGUUCUGGAGGUCAAAGUUGCUGUGGGUGACAGGCAACCAAGACUAAGGGCAAACUUGAAACAUAAAUGAGUUAAAACCCACAAAAAUAAGACAGUUUUAAAUAACUAAA